GUCAAUUUGGGAAUUUCUGUGUCACUAUGGAUUCUUGAAAAAAAUUACUGCUGUGGAUCUCAGGUUGACUUUUUAAUUUCCCAUCUUUAAAAUUGAACUAUACCAGAAGGCUGGUACUUGAAUCUUUUUUUGGAGAACUGUACAGAGGUGAAGCUCCCUUCCCCAAGGCCUCCUGCCUCCACCUGUUGCCCCUCCACAGCCCCAUAGGCUUUUACCCCACACCCAUCACAGAAUAGUUACCAAUUAUUCCUUAGUCUGAGCCGAAGGGAUUGCCACAACCUCUGACAGAACUCCUUCAGUUCCUUUUACGUGACACUUUGUCACCGGAAGGUUAAGCAUAAGAAGAAAGUCAGUAGAUGAUGGGUGAAAAGAUCCAACAGUUCAGAAGAGGAACCAUUUGAGUGGUCAGAGCAGAAGACAGCCUUUGCCACCAGAUUUGAGAGAAAUAGGAAGAAGCGUUAAAAAAUAAUCUGUUUCAUAUUGAAAUUUGAGAGGCCAUUGCAUGAUUUCUUUUUUCAGCUGGAAAAAUAAUGGAAAACAAGAAAACUUUCUUAGGACAAAUGGCACCACCCAUUUAAUGCAACAGUGUCAGUGAACUGCAGAUUAGAUAUGCCAAAAGUUAAACCAGUUCAAGAAAAUUUACCAGAACUCAGAAGGAAAAGUGACCUCAUACCCUGGCCACUGGUCCUGGGCCAAGAUGGGCCAGAGUCCUUACCCAGAAUUUUUUUAACUGAAACUGAGAAAGAAAAUUCCCCUUCAGU
rnacentral:lncRNA from 10 species